GACGAACGCUGGCGGCGUGCCUAAUGCAUGCAAGUCGAACGCACUGCCUUCGGGCAGUGAGUGGCGCACGGCUGAGGAACACGUGGGAAUCUGCCCGACCGUGGGGGAUAACACGCCGAAAGGCGUGCUAAGCCCGCAUACGCUCGCAAGAGGAAAGCGGCAACGCGCGGUCGGAGGAGCCUGCGGCCCAUCAGGUAGUCGGCGGGGUAACGGCCCACCGAGCCGGUGACGGGUAGCUGGUCUGUGAGGACAGACAGCCAGACUGGGACUGAGACACGGCCCAGACUCCUACGGGAGGCAGCAGCAAGGAAUUUUCGGCAAUGGGCGCAAGCCUGACCGAGCAACGCCGCGUGGAGGACG
rnacentral:rRNA from 1 species